rnacentral:lncRNA from 1 species
CAGGAGUGAUCUAAGCCGGAUUACCCCUACCAGAUCACCCCAGUUUGAGUUUCUUUGUUAUGCAUGCUUUCCUUUGUUCUGUGACAUUUUGGCGAGAAUGUUAAAUCCACUAUAAAACUUAUAAGACUAUCUUCCAAAAUUCACGAACUCAAGACCUUUAGCAUAUCAAGCCACGACACAUACCACUACACCUGGACGACUGGUUACGAACUAAAAGUAAUUUGAAAUACUUAAAGGAAGCAAGAUCUUUUUUUAA